rnacentral:rRNA from 1 species
ACACGACCGUACCGCAAACCGACACUGGUGCGCGAGAUGAGUAUUCUAAGGCGCUUGAGAGAACUCAGGAGAAGGAACUCGGCAAAUUGACACCGUAACUUCGGAAGAAGGUGUGCCUUUAGUAGGUGAAGUCCCUCGCGGAUGGAGCCCAAUGAGGUUGCAAAAAAUCGGUGGCUGCGACUGUUUAUUAAAAACACAGCACUCUGCAAACACGAAAGUGGACGUAUAGGGUGUGACGCCUGCCCGGUGCUGGAAGAUUAAAUGAUGGGGUGCAAGCUCUUGAUUGAAGUCCCAGUAAACGGCGGCCGUAACAAUAACGGUCCUAAGGUAGCGAAAUUCCUUGUCGGGUAAGUUCCGACCUGCACGAAUGGCGUAACGAUGGCCACACUGUCUCCUCCUGAGACUCAGCGAAGUUGAAAUGUUUGUGAUGAUGCAAUCUCCCCGCGGAAAGACGGAAAGACCCCAUGAACCUUUACUGUAGCUUUGUAUUGGACUUUGAACAGAUCUGUGUAGGAUAGGUGGCAGGCUUUGAAGCAGGGUCGCUAGAUCUUGUGGAGCCAACGUUGAAAUACCACCCUGGUGUGUUUGAGGUUCUAACCUAGGCCCGUAAUCCGGGUUGGGGACAGUGCAUGGUAGGCAGUUUGACUGGGGCGGUCUCCUCCCAAAGUGUAACGGAGGAGUUCGAAGGUACGCUAGUUACGGUCGGACAUCGUGACGAUAGUGCAAUGGCAUAAGCGUGCUUAACUGCGAGACUGACAAGUCGAGCAGAUGCGAAAGCAGGACAUAGUGAUCCGGUGGUUCUGUAUGGAAGGGCCAUCGCUCAACGGAUAAAAGGUACUCUGGGGAUAACAGGCUGAUACCGCCCAAGAGUUCAUAUCGACGGCGGUGUUUGGCACCUCGAUGUCGGCUCAUCUCAUCCUGGGGCUGUAGCCGGUCCCAAGGGUAUGGCUGUUCGCCAUUUAAAGUGGUACGUGAGCUGGGUUUAAAACGUCGUGAGACAGUUUGGUCCCUAUCUGCCGUGGGCGUUGGAAGUUUGAGGGGACCUGCUCCUAGUACGAGAGGACCGGAGUGGACAGAUCUCUGGUGUACCGGUUGUCACGCCAGUGGCAUCGCCGGGUAGCUAAAUCUGGAAGAGAUAACCGCUGAAAGCAUCUAAGCGGGAAACUCGCCUCAAGAUGAGACUUCCCUGGGGAUUUAAUCCCCCUGUAGGGUCGUUCAAGACCAGGACGUUGAUAGGUCAGGUGUGGAAAC